rnacentral:tRNA from 1 species
GGGGUUGUGGCUCAGCGGUACAUCGCUCGCUUAGCAUGUGAUGGGCCCUGGGUUCGACCCUCAGCACCACA